AGGGUAAUAGUUAACUAUAACAUUUAACUUGCACUUAAAAGGUAUUGACAAAAUCAAUUUACCUU
rnacentral:tRNA from 1 species